GAUGAACGCUGGCGGCGUGCCUAAUACAUGCAAGUCGAGCGAACAGAUAAGGAGCUUGCUCCUUUGACGUUAGCGGCGGACGGGUGAGUAACACGUGGGUAACCUACCUAUAAGACUGGGAUAACCUCGGGAAACCGGAGCUAAUACCGGAUAACAUUUGGAACCGCAUGGUUCUAAAGUGAAAGAUGGUUUUGCUAUCACUUAUAGAUGGACCCGCGCCGUAUUAGCUAGUUGGUAAGGUAACGGCUUACCAAGGCGACGAUACGUAGCCGACCUGAGAGGGUGAUCGGCCACACUGGAACUGAGACACGGUCCAGACUCCUACGGGAGGCAGCAGUAGGGAAUCUUCCGCAAUGGGCGAAAGCCUGACGGAGCAACGCCGCGUGAGUGAUGAAGGGUUUCGGCUCGUAAAACUCUGUUAUUAGGGAAGAACAAAUGUGUAAGUAACUGUGCACGUCUUGACGGUACCUAAUCAGAAAGCCACGGCUAACUACGUG
rnacentral:rRNA from 1 species